rnacentral:rRNA from 1 species
UACGUAGGGUGCAGGCGUUAAUCGGAAUUACUGGGCGUAAAGCGUGCGCAGGCGGUUUCUUAAGUCAGAUGUGAAAGCCCCCGGGCUUAACCUGGGAACUGCGUUUGAAACUGGGAGACUUGAGUGUGGCAGAGGGGGGGUGGAAUUCCACGUGUAGCAGUGAAAUGCGUAGAUAUGUGGAGGAACACCGAUGGCGAAGGCAGCCCCCUGGGUUAACACUGACGCUCGAUGCACGAAAGCGUGGGGAGCGAAACAGG